UUGAAUUUGCAGUUUCUCAGACAACAUCUGAUGAUCUCAAGGGUAUGACAGAUCUCUGAUUCCCUCUGAUCAUUCUCAAAAUUCAUAGAUAAUUGGGUGUUUUGUGUAAUUUCAUGUAUUUCAAGAACACAAAAAUAUUAUUCCAAGAAAGGGACCAUGGACAUCACUAACUUGUCUAAGGUGUCUACACCACCAAAAAUGUUAAAUAAGGUUGGUUUUCAAGAGAUGGUUAUACAACAAUAAAAUUCAACAUUAAAUGAGUAGGUAUAUAACUGAAUCUACUGCUUGGCUCCUGCAAGAACAGAAAAAAAAGUAUUAAUGGAGAUGACAAAGAAACAGCAGCCAUCACCUUUUAUUUUUUUUAAUAAUGUCUGGCUGACUUCAAGGCAAUUUUAGUUGAUUGCUUUUACUUAAUAUGGGUAGACAGCUGGGUCAGCCCUAGGUUUAGAGUUUGGGUUUGAAUCCAGAUCUCACACACAUCAGCUGUGCAAAGCAAUCCUGUUAUUCAUCCUCAAUUAACUAUGCCAAACUACACAUAGCACCUGCUCCAAACCUUCUCUUUGCAACUCUCCAAAAUGCUACAUUCCCUACUCCUUGUCUGUGAAGAACUUCCCCUGCUUUGCUGAAAAAGAAACAAAGUGGCUCAUGUUCUCUUUUUCUCUUCAGAACUACCCUGUAGAUCUCCUCCUUCCAUCCUGUUUUAGAGGAUUGGUUGGAGUAUAAUGGAGAGAGAGUUGAUGUUAAAUAUCCAGAAGGCAGGAGGAGGGUUCUGUCCUUCAAAGUCUCUGGAUCAUUCCUCUAUCACAAUCCACUCUGCAACAAAAAGCAAUCUCCCAAUGCUUGUUAAGCACCUGCUAUGUGCCAGGCAGUGUGCUAAGUGCUGAAGAUAUAAAAAGAGAUCAAAUAUUAUCUCUGCCUUCAAGAUGAGGAAACAGAUUCAAUUUAACCCAAGGUGGUUGUGACCUUCUCAAAGUGACCCAGGGAGUAAAAAUCACAGGUAAGAUUUGGACUCAGGUCCUCUGACUCCAGAGCCAGAAAGGAUUACAUUAUCAUAUUGCCUGUGAAAUAGGUCAACUGGAUUUUACCUAACCACUUAAAAAUGAAGCAAAAAAAGUUCACAUUGAGAUACAUGAUCAUUGCCAUUAACAGUGAGUCAUACUCUUCCUUUCUUAACAUGGAAUUAAUUUAGAAUACAAUUAAAGGUAAAUUGGACAUGGUUUAUCUAAACCACAUGUAAGGCUAGAUCAUGAGUCAGAGAGAUAAUGGAAUUUAUCGCUAGAGAUCUUGAAAAAGAGAAAG
rnacentral:lncRNA from 1 species